rnacentral:rRNA from 1 species
AACGAACGCUGGCGGCAGGCCUAACACAUGCAAGUCGAACGAGUAAGAGCCGUAGCAAUACGGAGUUCUGCUAGUGGCGCACGGGUGAGUAACGCGUGGGAACGUGCCUUGGAGUUCGGGAUAACAGUUGGAAACGACUGCUAAUACCGAAUAUUCCCUCAGGGGAAAGAUUUAUCGCUCCAAGAUCGGCCCGCGUAAGAUUAGGUAGUUGGUGGGGUAAUGGCCUACCAAGCCUACGAUCUUUAGCUGGUCUGAGAGGACGACCAGCCACACUGGAACUGAGACACGGUCCAGACUCCUACGGGAGGCAGCAGUGGGGAAUAUUGGGACAAUGGGCGAAAGCCUGAUCCAGCCAUGCCGCGUGAAUGAUGAAGGCCUUAGGGUUGUAAAAUUCUUUGUCAGGGGAAGAUAAUGACGGUACCCUGCGAAUAAGCUCCGGCUAACUUCGUGCCAGCAGCCGCGGUAA